rnacentral:rRNA from 1 species
CCUACGGGAGGCAGCAGUGGGGAAUUUUGGACAAUGGGCGCAAGCCUGAUCCAGCAAUGCCGCGUGCAGGAUGAAGGCCUUCGGGUUGUAAACUGCUUUUGUACGGAACGAAAAAGUCUGCCCUAAUACGGUGGGCCCAUGACGGUACCGUAAGAAUAAGCACCGGCUAACUACGUGCCAGCAGCCGCGGUAAUACGUAGGGUGCGAGCGUUAAUCGGAAUUACUGGGCGUAAAGCGUGCGCAGGCGGUUAUAUAAGACAGAUGUGAAAUCCCCGGGCUCAACCUGGGACCUGCAUUUGUGACUGUAUAGCUAGAGUACGGUAGAGGGGGAUGGAAUUCCGCGUGUAGCAGUGAAAUGCGUAGAUAUGCGGAGGAACACCGAUGGCGAAGGCAAUCCCCUGGACCUGUACUGACGCUCAUGCACGAAAGCGUGGGGAGCAAACAGGAUUAGAUACCCUGGUAGUCCACGCCCUAAACGAUGUCAACUGGUUGUUGGGUCUUCACUGACUCAGUAACGAAGCUAACGCGUGAAGUUGACCGCCUGGGGAGUACGGCCGCAAGGUUGAAACUCAAAUGAAUUGACGGCNGAGAGNGCGACGACGACGACGAGGGAGGAGG